UAGGGAAUCUUCCGCAAUGGGCGAAAGCUUGACGGAGCAACGCCGCGUGAGUGAUGAAGGUCUUCGGAUCGUAAAACUCUGUUAUUAGGGAAGAACAAAUGUGUAAGUAACUAUGCACGUCUUGACGGUACCUAAUCAGAAAGCCACGGCUAACUACGUGCCAGCAGCCGCGGUAAUACGUAGGUGGCAAGCGUUAUCCGGAAUUAUUGGGCGUAAAGCGCGCGUAGGCGGUUUUUUAAGUCUGAUGUGAAAGCCCACGGCUCAACCGUGGAGGGUCAUUGGAAACUGGAAAACUUGAGUGCAGAAGAGGAAAGUGGAAUUCCAUGUGUAGCGGUGAAAUGCGCAGAGAUAUGGAGGAACACCAGUGGCGAAGGCGACUUUCUGGUCUGUAACUGACGCUGAUGUGCGAAAGCGUGGGGGUCAAACAGG
rnacentral:rRNA from 1 species